rnacentral:rRNA from 2 species
GGAACGCUAAUACCGCAUACGUCCUACGGGAGAAAGUGGGGGAUCUUCGGACCUCACGCUAUCAGAUGAGCCUAGGUCGGAUUAGCUAGUUGGUGAGGUAAAGGCUCACCAAGGCGACGAUCCGUAACUGGUCUGAGAGGAUGAUCAGUCACACUGGAACUGAGACACGGUCCAGACUCCUACGGGAGGCAGCAGUGGGGAAUAUUGGACAAUGGGCGAAAGCCUGAUCCAGCCAUGCCGCGUGUGUGAAGAAGGUCUUCGGAUUGUAAAGCACUUUAAGUUGGGAGGAAGGGCAGUAAGUUAAUACCUUGCUGUUUUGACGUUACCAACAGAAUAAGCACCGGCUAACUUCGUGCCAGCAGCCGCGGUAAUACGAAGGGUGCAAGCGUUAAUCGGAAUUACUGGGCGUAAAGCGCGCGUAGGUGGUUCGUUAAGUUGGAUGUGAAAGCCCCGGGCUCAACCUGGGAACUGCAUCCAAAACUGGCGAGCUAGAGUAUGGCAGAGGGUGGUGGAAUUUCCUGUGUAGCGGUGAAAUGCGUAGAUAUAGGAAG